UACGUAGGGAGCAAGCGUUGUCCGGAAUCAUUGGGCGUAAAGCGCGCGCAGGCGGUUUUCCAAGACAGAUGUGAAAUCCCCGGGCUCAACCUGGGAAUGGCAUUUGUGACUGGAAGGCUAGAGUGUGUCAGAGGGGGGUAGAAUUCCACGUGUAGCAGUGAAAUGCGUAGAGAUGUGGAGGAAUACCGAUGGCGAAGGCAGCCCCCCUGGGAUAACACUGACGCUCAUGCACGAAAGCGUGGGGAGCAAACAGG
rnacentral:rRNA from 1 species